AUGAGGCCUAAAUGAGGACCCCCAAUAAACCUGUUCAUUUUUGUCAUAAUAGGUAAGCAAACUAAAUGUCAGCGUCCUACAAAUCAACAUAUGUGCCCUCCAAAAUAUACUUGCCAUUUAUUACAAGUAUCAGGUAAAAAAUAUAAUUAAUACAUAUUUUAGAUUGAUAAAAAUCAUUAAAUGCAAUAAGCAACAGAAUGCAGAACAAAUGGGCUGAAAUUGUGUAAUUUCUUCCACUAACUAACUAAGGUCACAAAUGUGACAGGAAGUCGAAGUACACCCACAUGCCUAAUUGAGUUAUCAGACAGUUGGCGAACAGGUGACACGAGAAAAUAAUUUGUUUUAAAUUUCACAAAGACUGACUGAAUGUUUACAGCAGCAGAAACGAAGCCAGAUUCUGCAGCAGCACCAGAGGAGACAGUUGGCACCGAGGUGAGCGCGAAAGGAGGAAAAUAACCCGAGUUUAGAGAUGACUAUAAGUGGUGCCAGGAAAGCUAACGUUAGCACCCCGGCGGCUAGCAUCGGCCAGGUGCAGCCAGUCAGCCACCCUCCUGCCUCUGCUACUCCGCUAGGAUCGCUGCCACCACAAACUCUGGGUGAUUUUUGGAUUGAUAAACUAUACCUGCAGUGAUACUCAGUCCGUUUUGUUGUUGUUGUUGUUUUAACAAAUAAAAGGCGCUCAUUUGUGAGCAGAGAGUGGUUGGAAUGAAGUCAGAUGCUGGAUGUUAUUUUAAUGGGUUUCCUGAUUGAAAAACAUUUACACUGAACUUUAAAGAACCAUGCUUCACACACUGAAGGCCCAGUUAGCCCAGAGACUUUACCUGCCAGUGCACAAAUAACUGGAACCACACUCCACACCUGCAGCUGUUUUAAUGUUGCGUUAUUAAACUGACUUGGUGUACAGCACAGCGCACUGGGGCUGCCAAACGUCCGGAGAGGAAGAAAAGAGCCGUCUGAUUAGCUGAACUGAAGCGCUGGGGCCGCGACAGUGUUUCCGCUGGACGGACGUGACUACCGAUCCAAAGUUGACCGAGCAUGAAUUCAGCAGGCGAUCGCCCCAAGUGGUUGUGCCGAACAGAGGCGGACAUUUUCGAAAGAUGGAACAAUCCACAUAUAAUCGAAGGCUACUGUGUUUCAUUGUCAGAGAACAGUGCCUGCAGUGCUGCUCUGUUCUCUGGGGACUUCUUAUAAAGGCAUGCCAGUGGGCAGAUUAAUGAUGGUGAACUAGACAGUGAUGUCUGCAGAGUGAUGUAAAGUAAAGAAACAACAUAAAAUGAGAGACAGGUCACCGCGCCUCGCUAAGUGAGUUGUGUUUCUUCACGUUCGCUGAGCCCUGAGUUGUUGAGGACUAAUUAAUUCAAGAACAAAUGUCCCCAAAGGCUGCAAUUAAUGAUAAACUUAUUAGACGUGAUGGUGCCCAUGAGGUCUGGAUCUCAUCGUGGUGUCCACGCUCCUGGUGGUGUUACUUACCCAGCUGUCACUUCAAAUAAAUUAAGAAAG